rnacentral:tRNA from 1 species
CAGUAAAUAGUUUAAAUUAAAAUAUUAAUUUUGGAGAUUAAUGAUAGGCAUAGCUUUUUACUGA